AAUACCUAGGAAUCUGCCUGGUAGUGGGGGACAACGUUUCGAAAGGAACGCUAAUACCGCAUACGUCCUACGGGAGAAAGCAGGGGACCUUCGGGCCUUGCGCUAUCAGAUGAGCCUAGGUCGGAUUAGCUAGUUGGUGAGGUAAUGGCUCACCAAGGCGACGAUCCGUAACUGGUCUGAGAGGAUGAUCAGUCACACUGGAACUGAGACACGGUCCAGACUCCUACGGGAGGCAGCAGUGGGGAAUAUUGGACAAUGGGCGAAAGCCUGAUCCAGCCAUGCCGCGUGUGUGAAGAAGAUCUUCGGAUUGUAAAGCACUUUAAGUUGGGAGGAAGGGCAGUAAGCGAAUACCUUGCUGUUUUGACGUUACCAACAGAAUAAGCACCGGCUAACUCUGUGCCAGCAGCCGCGGUAAUACAGAGGGUGCAAGCGUUAAUCGGAAUUACUGGGCGUAAAGCGCGCGUAGGUGGUUCGUUAAGUUGGAUGUGAAAUCCCCGGGCUCAACCUGGGAACUGCAUCCAAAACUGGCGAGCUAGAGUAGGGCAGAGGGUGGUGGAAUUUCCUGUGUAGCGGUGAAAUGCGUAGAUAUAGGAAGG
rnacentral:rRNA from 1 species